rnacentral:rRNA from 2 species
UUUAUGGAGAGUUUGAUCCUGGCUCAGGAUGAACGCUGGCGGCGUGCCUAAUACAUGCAAGUCGAGCGAACGGACGAGAAGCUUGCUUCUCUGAUGUUAGCGGCGGACGGGUGAGUAACACGUGGAUAACCUACCUAUAAGACUGGGAUAACUUCGGGAAACCGGAGCUAAUACCGGAUAAUAUUUUGAACCGCAUGGUUCAAAAGUGAAAGACGGUCUUGCUGUCACUUAUAGAUGGAUCCGCGCUGCAUUAGCUAGUUGGUAAGGUAACGGCUUACCAAGGCAACGAUGCAUAGCCGACCUGAGAGGGUGAUCGGCCACACUGGAACUGAGACACG